GGCAGAGCACCAGGUUGUGUGGCUGAGGAACCAGGCUCCCUGGUAUAGUGGUUUGGCCACAGACACACAGUGGUCCCGGAACUCUGCCUUUGGCCCCCCUCUCUCUGUCCCGUGGGUCAGCCCCCUUCUGCCUCCUGCUCUGCUCAAAGCCCUAAGGGGAAAUAAGUAAUUUGAGCACCUGUGCUGGGGGGCUGGGCUGUGAGGACACUGCCGCCGCUGUCGUUCCCAGACUUCCGUGCACAGAGGACCAGGGUUGGAGCCCCUUUCCCAACCUGCAGAGGAAGGAGAGGGUUAUUGCAGGGUCUCGCUGUCUGCACUAUGAAUCCACUGCUCCUAGAGGGAUAGAGAGAAACUGAGUAGAGAGGAAGAGGAAGAUAGAUGCCUGCAGACCUGCUUCACAGCUCCUGAAGAGUCCUACUGAAGAAAAGCUCUAAGAUCUGUCUCUCGGCUGCAUCCAAGACCCAGGUGCUAGCUGCCAUGCCGGGUAGUCACAGAGCCGGUGCCGAUCCUGCAGGGCCUGAGACCUGCUUCCUGCCCUGUUCCAGCCUGUCCUUCCGCCUCCGGAGCUGAAAAUUAAAAUCAUUAAUCACUGCGGUUGUGUUCACAGCAGACUUGUUGCCGAGAACUCAGGGAACAGCAGGGCUGGGAUCUCCCUCACUUAUAUUGUCUCUGCUUCCUGCUGUGUCACUCAGCCCCUGUCCCCUCCUGCCACUCUCAGCAGUCUGGAUGGCAGACGAGGCUGGAGUCAAGCUGCAGAGGACAGAGGACACUUGCAGACACUUGCAGUUCCUGCCGGAAAGACAAAGACCUGGAGAGGUUUC